AUUUUUUUAAAUUCAAAUCUUGGAGGGAAAUUAAUUUUUCAUAAGAAUCAAACCAUAUACACACCAUUCAAAGCCAUUUUCAUUACAAAAACCUUAAAAGUCAUUACAAAAAGUUCAAAAUCCAAUUUUACACAAAAUACACCUUGUAGACCUAAAGUUGACUUUGGUCAACUAUGACCUUUGGGUUAACAUUGGACCACAGUCAACCUCUAAUCCUAUUCUAAACCCUAUUCUCUAUCUUCUCCAUUCCAUCUUUGUAAGCCUUCAAGUUCUUCAUGUUGACCAAAAUUUAUCCAUGAUCCAUGCCUAAACCAUGACCACAAUACCAUCCUUGCAACACAUAACCACACAGUACAUAAUUAGAACCAAUAUGCCAAGACAUCCAAAUUAACGCAACAUAGCAUGUAGCAUAAUAUUCAUACAUACACAUUCAAGUCCUAAUAGUUCACAACCUCUACGAUAGUCCAAAAUCACAUAUAGUAGUAAACUUUGAGCAGUAAAUGAUGACAAUCCAUAAGCAUUUUCUAACUAAGCAUCUCCAUUGUAAAAGUAACCUCCUAACUUCAAGCAACUGCAGUGAUAAUAUUCAUAAAUAAUAUAACUAAUUGUUACUUAACGUCAAUUCAAUGACGUAUGCCUAACAAUCUCUAACAUCAGACAGUUUGGUGGCUCCGUUAAAUCAUUAACAGUUCAUAAACUUGGCUUUUGAUACAACCAAGCACAAUAUAACAAAUUACAUUAACAAUCAAUUCACCAUCAAGUUUUACUAACUAAGUGUGCCUUCAAACUAAUCCUAACUGAAGUUAACCAUCCCUCUUGUUUGAAAAUUCAUUACAACUAAUCUCAUUAGUGUUUUUGCUAACCAAUUAAAUCUAACUAAUAAAUUAAUUCCAACUCAAACAAACUAACACUUCCAAUACAUUCUCAACUGAGAUUUCAAAAUAAAUUUAGCAGAAUCACUAACUUCACUUGACUUCCAAGCUAAUUUCACAUGAUACGCAUAACCUCCAUCUUACUAAAUCAUAAUUGCAACAAACCUUGCUAACACAAUUGAAUUACUAACUAAGCUGCACAAUUUAAGUAAUUUUUCCUAACCUACACUAACAAAAAAUUCUAACAGUACUUAGCCGAAACAUUCUUCAUUUAAAAUUCAAGCUAACUUCAUGAACUUGUUAAUAAAUCACGAACUAACUCAAACUUUAAUGGUUUUACUUUCCUAACUCAACCUUCACUAACAAUCCAUAAAACUUCAGUAUUAACUUCUCCUUAACCAAUCUGAUUCUCCAACUAACUUUCACUAACCAAAAUCCGAUCUAACAUUAACUGUAGAUGUAACAAAUUUUAACUGAUUCAUAACACAUCAUAAUUGCACUUAACAGAUUGUAACACACUGAAUCGCCCUAACAACUUGCUCUUAGAAAAUUUAACAAAAGUUAACUGCCCUAAUAGAGUUGACCCCCUGCCUCAUUAUGUUACAACUCCAUCUCUAUAUAUUCAUCAUCAACACUCAAUCAUGAACAUUCAUAAUCAUUGGCUCAGAAAUUCCUCAAUCACCAAUCAUUUCCCACAAAUCACUGAAAUUAUCACACUCUCAUUUCUCUGAGAAUUCUCUCUCUCUGCAACCCUUUCCCUCUACUCAUCGUCAUGCUCUUGUAUCUCUCUACAAUCACUCUCACGCAUACAUAACAAAAGUAAGAAAACAACACCUAUAAACUACAGAAGGAGAAGGAGAAGAAGAAGGAAGAAUUGGAGCAAGAAGAGUUUAAAAGUGUGAACAUUACCUGAACAUUCUUGAUACUCUUUCAUUUUCUGCCUCAUCUUUAUCAACUCCUACGACUCUGGGGCCAUUCUCCACCUCAUAGGUGAGCCCUUUGAUUUCUUCAGCAUUUCACGUUGAUAUUGAUACUGUCAUGUAGUCUUAAGCUUGAGGAAUCAAAGCCCUAACACUGUAGGCUUUGAUUCCUCCUCUAUCGCAUUUAAUUUCAAAAUUUUGUUUUAGGGUUCAUGUAAGGUUUCGUUUGAUUUGGUUUAUGUGGUAAGAAUUAUGGAAAGAUGUUGAUGGAUCAUGGAAGAGGGGAGGAAAGUAAGCAUUCUAAUAUUGAUUUGGUGGUGUUUGAACCUCACCGCCGCCGGAGGUGAUUUCUGGCGCGACAAUUUUUUUUUGGCCAUAACUAGGAGUAGCAACACGUUUGGAUGAGUGGUC
rnacentral:lncRNA from 1 species